UCUACGGGAGGCAGCAGUAGGGAAUCUUCGGCAAUGGGCGAAAGCCUGACCGAGCAACGCCGCGUGAGCGAUGAAGGCCUUCGGGUCGUAAAGCUCUGUUGUUAGAGAAGAACAAGUACGAGAGUAACUGCUUGUACCUUGACGGUACCUAACCAGAAAGCCACGGCUAACUACGUGCCAGCAGCCGCGGUAAUACGUAGGUGGCAAGCGUUAUCCGGAAUUAUUGGGCGUAAAGCGCGCGCAGGCGGUCUCUUAAGUCUGAUGUGAAAGCCCACGGCUCAACCGUGGAGGGUCAUUGGAAACUGGGAGACUUGAGUGCAGGAGAGAAAAGUGGAAUUCCACGUGUAGCGGUGAAAUGCGUAGGGAUGUGGAGGAACACCAGUGGCGAAGGCGGCUUUUUGGCCUGUAACUGACGCUGAGGCGCGAAAGCGUGGGGAGCAAACAGGAUUAGAUACCCUGGUAGUCCACGCCGUAAACGAUGAGUGCUAGGUGUUGGGGGGUUCCACCCUCAGUGCUGAAGUUAACACAUUAAGCACUCCGCCUGGGGAGUACGACCGCAAGGUUGAAACUCAAAGGAAUUGACGGA
rnacentral:rRNA from 1 species